AGCCUCAUCAACCUUUCGGUGUAGAUGUUGUCGCAUAGCGAUGGCU
rnacentral:ncRNA from 1 species